AUCUCCUCUUCCUACAUAUUUAAACAUCAAUUAAUUUAUUUUCUCUUAUUUUCGUUUCAGGUACUUACAACAUCAACCGUACAAAGCAGCGCGAUGCUACGGUUACAAUUCUUCUUCGACUCUCGUGUGGUACAAGCUGGGUAAUCUAGGCGAUUAUUUUGGCAAUAAAUUCCAUAAAUUACACUCCUUGCUUGCUUACACGUAUUAAUAAACGAAAGAAAUAUCCAAA
rnacentral:lncRNA from 1 species